UGUCUAUUAAGUCAUAUUUGAAAAUAUUAAGUACUUAAGAUUCCUUUCAAAAUUCUGGACAUGAAGUAUUUUACAUCUGCAAAGAGUCAACAACCCAAGUACAAGGAGACUAAUGACUUAAAAUUGAGCCUUCUCUGCACAACUGAUGGAGUUUUGUUCCUGGGCUAUCUCCUCCUCGUUUCAUUCAGCGUGAAUGGCAGAUUCCUACAUCGUGUCAAGUUUCGGAUCACCAUAGAAACAAACUAGGAGGCAG
rnacentral:lncRNA from 12 species